GAAUGUCAAGGUGAUCUGGUUACAAUACUUGUCAUCGCAGUGAUCGCUAAGGUUUAAUCAGCUGAUGUGGUUGGAUAGAGAGCAUGGGCCAUCCUUCUUUAUAUUUGCAUUUGCCCCUCUCCAGAGCUGCCCAAUUGACCAUAGAGGCUGACUUUCCUUAUCAGAGUAAGAAUAACUGAUAUAAACCAGUGGCAAAACCAAGAUUCAAACCCAGGUGCCU
rnacentral:snRNA from 1 species